rnacentral:lncRNA from 1 species
CAUAUUCAGUCCAUCUACUAACAUGUCGAAUCUCAAGUAUAUGGCAGACAUCUAGCUUCGUGAUGCAGCAAUCGGAGACAUGAGAUCCGCAUGGCACCAAUGUCAUCGACUGAAGGCCAAUCAUGAGAGGUCGGCAGUUCAACAAUCCCAGCAUCAUCGUUCCUCGAUCGAUGGCAUCUCCCUAUUGCCCUAGCACUCUACAAGCCAUCCUUCAGAUUGGACGGUUCCAAGAGCAUUUGGCAUGUAGAUCUCACUAGGUAGGUACUCUGCUGCGUAGGCCCACUACUCCUUUAGAUGUGGAUGUUUGGCCCUGAGACAGCGUGCUGACAUCCACUAUCCUGGCUCUGAUAGCUACUACUACAACUCCUACGGGAUCCACUACCUUGGCUCUGACAGCCAUCACUCCAACUUCAGCAGG